rnacentral:rRNA from 1 species
CCUACGGGAGGCAGCAGUGGGGAAUAUUGCGCAAUGGGCGAAAGCCUGACGCAGCAACGCCGCGUGAGGGAUGAAGGUUCUAGGAUUGUAAACCUCUUUGAUCAGGGAAGAAGCCGCAAGGUGACGGUACCUGAAGAACAAGCCCCGGCUAACUACGUGCCAGCAGCCGCGGUAAUACGUAGGGGGCAAGCGUUGUCCGGAAUCAUUGGGCGUAAAGAGCGCGUAGGCGGUCUGUCAAGUUUGGUGUGAAAUCUCGAGGCCUAACCUUGAGCGUGCAUCGAAAACUGACAGACUAGAGUUCGGCAGGGGAAACUGGAAUUCCAAGUGUAGCGGUGAAAUGCGCAGAUAUUUGGAAGAACACCGGUGGCGAAGGCGGGUUUCUGGACCGCAACUGACGCUGAGGCGCGAAAGCUAGGGGAGCGAACAGGAUUAGAUACCCUGGUAGUCCUAGCCGUAAACGAUGGGCACUAGGUGUGGGGAGUUAUCGACGCUCUCCGUGCCGCAGCUAACGCAUUAAGUGCCCCGCCUGGGGAGUACGGCCGCAAGGCUAAAACUCAAAGGAAUUGACGG